rnacentral:lncRNA from 1 species
UACGGAGGCGGCGCUUGCGUUUACGGCGUUCGGCGGCAGCUUCUUCUGGGGUGGCGAAGGAGAGGAGACGGAGGGAGAUGAAGGAAGGAGGUGGAGGUUGAGGGCGGCGGAGAUAAUGGGGUUUGGCUAGGGUUUUGAGGUGAUGGGUGAAAAAGGUGUGUUUGGAGAGAGCCAUUUGAAAAUGAUGGUUGUUUGAAAGAUAAUGGGGUUUAGCUAGGGUUUUGAGGUGAUGGGUGAAAAAGGUGUGUUUGGAGAGAGCCAUUUGGAAAUGGUACUUGAUUGAAAAUGGAGGGGAUUAGGGUUCUGUCAGGGUUUAGCAGUAGAAGAGGAUUGGAGAAGACGAUAGAAAAGUGUAACAGGCCGGAUUCUUCAUCCAAAAGCCUAGAGUAAACUCGGUAUCUUUUCACAAAUGGCCAUCAGAUUCACUAUUUACUUUUAGUCACCGGUAUAUUAUAG